rnacentral:lncRNA from 1 species
GGGGGGGCAGUGGGGGAGGACGGACAUUAACCAGUUCCCUUAUAAACCAGAUGAAUUUCUCAAGUAUAAACAGAUUGGAGACCAGAUCAAUUACCAUCCUACUUCAACAUCACCAAAACCAACCUAAUGUCAGUACAAUGCAGCAGAGUUUAGGCAUCAGAAGUGUAGGAAACACUCUGAUGAUCAAUAAUUUGAAUUUGUUGAAUAUGCAGAUCAUAUUAAUAGAAGAACCUGGAAGUACCAAAAGGCCGAGCAGAAGGACUCUGACCCAACAAAACAGAAGGAAUGGUGAUUGCUAGCAGCUACUUAUAAUGGCAGAAAGCAAGGGAAAUACAGUUCCAAGAGUAUUGCUGCUCUAUCAAAAAAAUUAGUAUAUGAAAUGCCCAACCCACUAUAAAGAAAUGAGAUAGACAUAUCUAUAGAUUGUUGCAUGGUUCGCUUGUGAAAAAUGGUAACAUAAGAUCAAUCUUAUAUGUGACAAGCUUAGCAAUUUCCAAUAAACAAUACUGCAUGUCACUCAG